rnacentral:rRNA from 1 species
CCAGCUCUCCGAGUGGUGUGGAUGUUUAUUGGGCCUAAAGCAUCCGUAGCUGGCUAAGUUAGUCCCUUGUUAAAUCCACCGAAUUAAUCGUUGGAUUGCGGGGGAUACUGCUUGGCUAGGGGACGAGAGAGGCGGACGGUAUUUCCGGGGUAGGGGUGAAAUCCUAUAAUCCCGGGAAGACCACCAGUGGCGAAGG